rnacentral:rRNA from 1 species
AUUGAACGCUGGCGGCAGGUCUAACACAUGCAAGUCGAGCGAGCGGCGGACGGGUGAGUAAUGUCUGGGUAACUGCCUGAUGUAGGGGGAUAACUACUGGAAACGUUAGCUAAUACCGCAUACCAUCAGAUGUGCCCAGAUGGGAUUAGCUAGUCGGUGGUGUAACGGUUCACCUAGGCGACGAUCCCUAGCUGGUCUGAUAGGAUGACCAGCCGCUCUGUAACUGAGACACGGUCCUGGCUCGCACGGGAGGCAGCGGUGGGAAAUAAUGCGCAGGGGGCGCAAGCCUGAUGCAGCCAUGCCGAGUGUGGGAAGAAGGCCUUGAGGUUGUAAAGCACUUUCAGCGGGGGUGCGUUACCCGCAGAUGAAGCACCGGCUAACGCCAUGCCAGCAGCCGCGGUAAUUC